rnacentral:pre_miRNA from 1 species
AGCACCAAGGCCUUUGUGCUUUUAGAAGCAUUCCGGCCCAUUUUUAUAUGGAUCGGAAUGCUUCUAAUAGCACCAAGCCAUUGGUGCU